rnacentral:rRNA from 1 species
CCUACGGGAGGCAGCAGUAGGGAAUCUUCCACAAUGGGCGAAAGCCUGAUGGAGCAACGCCGCGUGGGUGAAGAAGGUCUUCGGAUCGUAAAACCCUGUUGUUAGAGAAGAAAGUGCGUGAGAGUAACUGUUCACGUUUCGACGGUAUCUAACCAGAAAGCCACGGCUAACUACGUGCCAGCAGCCGCGGUAAUACGUAGGUGGCAAGCGUUAUCCGGAUUUAUUGGGCGUAAAGGGAACGCAGGCGGUCUUUUAAGUCUGUUGUGAAAGCCUUCGGCUUAACCGGAGUAGUGCAUUGGAAACUGGGAUACUUGAGUGCAGAAGAGGAGAGUGGAACUCCAGGUGUAGCGGUGAAAUGCGUAGAUAUAUGGAAGAACACCAGUGGCGAAAGCGGCUCACUGGUCUGUAACUGACGCUGAGGUUCGAAAGCGUGGGUAGCAAACAGGAUUAGAUACCCGGGUAGU